GACCAGACUCCUACGGGAGGCAGCAGUGGGGGAUAUUGCACAAUGGGGGGAACCCUGAUGCAGCGACGCCGCGUGGGUGAAGGAGUGCUUCGGCAUGUAAAGCCCUAUCGGCAGGGAAGAAGCAAGACGGUACCUGACUAAGAAGCCCCGGCUAACUACGUGCCAGCAGCCGCGGUAAUACGUAGGGGGCGAGCGUUAUCCGGAUUCACUGGGUGUAAAGGGAGCGUAGACGGCAGUGCAAGUCCGGAGUGAAAGCCCGGGGCUCAACCCUGGGACUGCUCUGGAAACUGUAAAGCUGGAGUGCGGGAGGGGCAGGCGGAAUUCCUGGUGUAGCGGUGAAAUGCGUAGAUAUCAGGAGGAACACCGGCGGCGAAGGCGGCCUGCUGGACCGUAACUGACGUUGAGGCUCGAAAGCGUGGGGAGCAAACAGGAUUAGAUACCCCCGUA
rnacentral:rRNA from 1 species